UACGUAGGGACCAAGCGUUGUCCGGAAUCAUUGGGCGUAAAGCGCGCGUAGGUGGCCAUUUAAGUCCGCUGUGAAAGUCAAAGGCUCAACCUUUGAAAGCCGGUGGAUACUGGGUGGCUAGAGUACGGAAGAGGCGAGUGGAAUUCCUGGUGUAGCGGUGGAAUGCGCAGAUAUCAGGAGGAACACCAAUAGCGAAGGCAGCUCGCUGGGACGUUACUGACACUGAGGCGCGAAAGCGUGGGGAGCGAACAGG
rnacentral:rRNA from 1 species